GACGAAGGGUGCGGGCGUUAUUCGUUUUGAUUGGGUGUAAAGGGUACGUAGGCAGUUGUUGCGUUCAAUUCCGAAAGAGCAGAGUGGUUCCUGUGCGACGGCACUGUAAACAAUACAACUUGUGUUAAGAAGAGGUUGGAUCAAAUGCUCAUUUAGGGGUAAUAUCCGAAAAUAUGAGUAUGAAUAGCUAUUGGCGAAGGCUCCCUUCUAGUCUUAACAGACGCUGAGGUACGUAGGCGCGGGUAGCAAACAGG
rnacentral:rRNA from 1 species